AUACGAAGGGUGCAAGCGUUGUUCGGAUUUACUGGGCGUAAAGCGUCCGUAGGUGGUUUGUUAAGUCAGGGGUGAAAUCCCGGGGCCUAACCCCGGAACUGCCUUUGAUACUGGCAGGCUGGAGCGCUAUAGAGGAAGAUGGAAUAUCUGGUGACGGGGUGAAAUCCGUAGAUAUCAGAUAGAACCCCAAUGGCGAAGGCAGUCUUCUGGAUCGUUGCUGACACUGAGGGACGAAAGCGUGGGUAGCAAACAGAAUUAGAUACUCUGGUAGUCCACGCCCUAAACGAUGCAUGCUUGUUGUUGGUUUCCUUCGGGGAAUCAGUGACGAAGCUAACGCGUUAAGCAUGCCGCCUGGGGACUACGAUCGCAAGAUUAAAACUUAAAGGAAUUGACGGGG
rnacentral:rRNA from 1 species